rnacentral:rRNA from 1 species
UACGUAGGUGGCAAGCGUUGUCCGGAUUUACUGGGCGUAAAGAGCGCGCAGGCGGUCGAAUAAGUCGAAUGUGAAAGCCCCCGGCUUAACUGGGGAGGGUCAUUCGAUACUGCUCGACUUGAAGGCAGGAGAGGGUAGUGGAAUUCCCGGUGUAGUGGUGAAAUGCGUAGAUAUCGGGAGGAACACCAGCGGCGAAGGCGGCCCCCUGGGCCGCUCCUGACGCUGAGACGCGAAGGCCAGGGUAGCGAACGGG